UACAUAGGUGGCGAACGUUAUCCGGAUUUAUUGGGCGUAAAGGGUGCGUAGGUGGUUGCAUAAGUUACUGGUGGUAAAUCAGAGCUCAACUCUGUGGAAGCUGGUAAUACUAUUGAACUAGAGGGUCGGAGAGGUUAACGGAAUUCUAUGUGUAGCGGUAAAAUGCGUAUAUAUAGAGGAACACCAAGCGGCGAAGGCAGUUAACUAUUCGAUUCCUGACGUUGAGGCACGAAAGCGUGGGGAGCAAGACGG
rnacentral:rRNA from 1 species